CUUGCUCUGCGCCGUCUGACGACAUCGGCGGAUUGCCGCGGGGGAUUUCUGACAGGGCCUGUCGUCCGCCUGCCAAAAGUCAAGACAUCACAAUAUCAAUCUGAAGCCCUUGUACCUCCUCAAAUGUAGUCUCAGCACAAAACAACAACAAAGAAUCCAAAGACGGCUCAACGUUGGUGCAUCGCUGGCAAACUACUUCAACUCCAAAAACGACUCCAGCGAGCACGACUCUGCAUCCGAAAAGCAAACCAGCUGUAGCCGAGGACACGGCGGUGCAAACAGGUAGUCAAAACUAUAGUGUGCCUGUGUUUCAUAUAUUCCCCCUGAGUUCACGUUGACUCAAAACUCUUGAGUGUGCAUCUUUGUGAAACAAGAACAACCCCCCCCCCCAGCCCCCUCCAUGAACAAAACAGGAAAUCUGAGCAAAUCUUUUUUGCACCAGUAUCAAUUACUGACUUGAAGUGUGUACUUAUGUAGGGGACAACUCCCGCAAACAUAUUUUUCCUACAUGCCAAAAUAAAGCAUUUAAUAAUCCCCUAAAUGUGUCACAAAUCAUCCCCCUUGAUAUAAUUCAGUUCUUGGUCCAACAAUCAUGUGGUCCAUCCUGGCAAAAGGCCUCAUUUCAACCGCAUAAAGGAGCUGCAGCGCCAUCUGCAGGACGCCCUCGCUCGUUUAGUUGAAUCUCUCCAGGUGGCGCUAUUUCCCCAUCUCAUUUUUUGCCUUUCAGAGUCCUUUUUUUUUCCCCCUUCAUGUGUAAGCCCAAGGCUCAAAAUCGUU